rnacentral:lncRNA from 1 species
CACACCACCCACCCCUUCUCACCGCCUCCCUCACGAACUAGACCACCCCAGUGCCCCCCUCUCUUCUUCUUCUUAUUCGAACUCCCCAGGCCUUUCGUCCUCGAAGUGCUGAAAGGCCGUCUUUUCAAAAUUUGGCCUUUUAUUUUAAUUUGAAAAAAAAAAAGUUAGUGAGCAAGUGAUUGCCGUUCAAAUUUUUAGUCAAAAAUAAGCCGAGCCAGCUUCGGCAAUGUAUUAAAUCGUUCUUGCCGAGAUAGCCUUAAGUAUCUUUUAUUUGUCGAAAGGCUAUUUUCGUAAAAGAAUGGACAAGUUUGUAGAGUGUCGUGAAAUAAUUUUCCCGGCCUCAAAUUUCAUGUGAGGGCCACGUUGCAGAAAAUAGCCAUUUGGCUGAAAGUGACAAAUAGGGAAAUGGAUCUAUCGUUUGUUUUUGAGUUUGUAAUUUUUUUUUUUUGAUAGAAUAUGCGGAUUGUUUGAUUUUCGAGUCUGUAUGUUGUCUUUCCGUCAAAUUUUGAUAGUUUGGUCCGUUUUUAAACCAUUGUAAUUAAAGUUGGUUUUAUUAGGAAAGUUGAAAAUUCCAAAAAAUGUUUCAUAAGUGCUUACUUUUUAUUGAUCCGAACUACGUAAGGUCUGAUUCAUGCAGGAUCAUGAUACAUAGGCAAUCUCCAUAAGAUUCAACCACCACAAAAAAAUCAAAAAAAAAAACGAAGAGAAAAAGAUGUUGUUAAUAAUGAGGACAAACUAGGUCCAUUCUAACAUGUUUUGUUUUGAAUUUUGAGAAAGCUGGAGUGAUCGGUUUGUGGUAAGCUGAAGGCGCAAGGCCUAGGAAAUUUUGAUUCAAGACGGUGACAUCCUUUACAUGAACAUGAUGAUGCACAUUUUGUGGGGAUGAUCCCGGUGAAAUGGGGUAUGAGAAUAUACUGACUAAAGCCGAAGAUCUUGAAGCAGAUAGUCGUCUUGGCAAUAUGGAUGCGAAGCUCAAUGGCUAAAAAUGGCGUGCUUGUUAAUUGGAAAUACGCUCCAUGUCGGGCCAGUUGGAGGGAGUCUUGGUAGUGGGCUCUGAUUUUCCUUCUUGUUUUCCGGAUUAUUCCAGGGUGUAAUCCAAAUUUUGUUUUACUUUAUGCAAAAGUGUGAACCCUGUUAUCCCCUGUUUUAUUAAAGUAAAAAUUUUCUUGUUUUGUUUAAUUUUGUUUCUUCUUCUUUCGCUUUCUGAACAGUACUCUUUUUACUGGUUCUGAUGAUAUGGCAUGCACGACGGAUCUUCGGCCCAGUCUAAAUGAUCAAUCGAAUUCCAAGCUAAUUAUAUAAGAGAUCGACUAUGAUAGUGAAUCGGAAUAUGAUGAGGAUGAAGUCUUUAAAGAGGUAAACAUGGAACUAAGCCAGUACGAAGAAAAACCCAAGCUCAACUUAAAUAACACUGAAGCUGGCAAUUAGGGGAAUGCCGACAAUGUGAGGGAAACCAAAAUCAGCAUCCAUAUUGAAACAGAUUCUCCCAUUUCAGGAAAUUUGAAGUAGGGCAGCAGGUACUGAAAUUGAUUCUCCCGCAUCAGGUCGUGGCAAAAGGGAAAGUUCUCUGCAAACUGGCAAGGACCAUUUGUUGUGACCGGGGUGUUAUCCAAUGGCGCUUUAUGUUUGACGGAUAUCGAAGGAAGAUGCAUUGACAUGGUUAUCCAUUCUGACACAAUCAAGAGAUACUAUGUGUAAAUUCAUUGAUUGUAUUUAUCAUUAUUUUUGUUUGUUUGUACUUGGUAUUUAUCGGAUAACGAAAUGACGGAGGAAAUUCUUUCUUCUACCUAAACACUGUCAACCUUUGUUUUCCCCUUUGAGCCGUAUUUAUUCUUUCAUACCCCUCUCUUGGAAUCGUAAAAAAAAUGAAAACAAAAAAAGAGAAAAAUGAUAAGAAAAUCAUAAGAAAAAAAUAUUUGGGAACUACGUUUGACCUGAUUCCUCAAGAAAGGAUACAUAGGCGCCUCACGGCUCGGUCAUAGUGUAACGAAAUGUCGCGAAAAAUCAAGGAUCCCCAAACAGAAAACUGGGGCAGAAGUUAGGUUGUUAGCUCGGUCAUAAUGUGACGAAAUGUCACGAAAAAUCAAAAAUCCCCAUGCGAAAACUGGGGCAGAAGUUAGGUUGUCAGAAAUUUUUUAUUCCAAGAGUUGUAGUCUCUCUCCCAUCGAAGUCACUUCGAAUUUUUUAUUCCCCUUUUUUCUUUCAAGCCCACAAAACCCACAUGUUAUAACCAAAAAAAAACUCUCGAUCAGUAUCCGAAAGGUGCCGAGUGAGGAAAGUGGAAGCCAGUAAUAAUACACUGAUCCCCGGACGAGGGAAGAUUAUGAGUUGAGGGAACUGCUAGCAGGAAUCCCCAGUAGAAUUGCUAGCAGAAAUCCCUAGUAGAAUUGCUAGCCAAAGGAAUCCCCGAUAGAGUUGAUGCCAAUGAAUUCCCCAGUAGAGAGAAUCUUAUUGGUAACGCUCCCAUUCCCAGCUGAGAAAAUAAAAUGAGAGAGUCUUAUCGUUGAAAACCUUUACAUGCACCAUAAGGUGACGAAAGCUAAGAGAAAACAAAAUGGGAGAGUCUAAUUAGUGAAAAAACCUGGAAGGGCACUAUGAGGCGACAAUAUAAGAUUAGCAGAAAGGAUCCGAAUUUGGGCAAAAGUUGGGCACCUAUUUAUCCCCAGCAAAUGAAGCCACGGUGAAAACCUUCACAGGCGCCAUAAGGCAACGAGAGUCGAGAGAAAUGAGAGAGUCUUAUUAGUGAAAACCCCUCGAAGGGCACAAUGAGGCGACAAGAUAAGAUUGGUAGAAAGUAUCCGCAUUUGGGAAAAAGUUGGGCACCUGCUUAUCCCCAACAAAUGAAGCCAUAAGAAAUUGAUUAAUACUAAUAGACCGGGUCGAUUAUUCCAGAAUAUAUGACAUGAUCAUCCAGGCCAGUACACCACCCAAAUAAGUCUUUUCUUUUCUUUUUCCCAGCAUUCGUUCAGAAAGAUUUCCUCCCUUUUUCUAUCAUUUCUUUUGACUUUCCCCCAGCAAUUUAUUUUUGAGAUAGCAGUUUAUUUUUUAGAAAGGUUUGUCAGGGCUUGCUACCAGUUGCCAAAUGGUACAAGGCAAAAAAACGAACAGGGCAAGCGGAGGACAGGACAACAAAACGAAAGAGCAUUGUUACAAGAUCCUCUUGUUAACAAGGCAAGCGGAAGACAAGGCAACAAAACGAAAGAGCGUUGUUGUAAGACCAUCUCGAAUAGAACGACCUUGUUUGAAUUGGUGUGGAGUGGGUUAGGUUUGGUUUACCAAAGUGACAAAUUCACUCCACCGAAUGGGUCCAAAAUAUCAGCAGAAGUAGGGGAAAAGUUGGAAAGGCAACAGUUGGGAAAACGUGGACCAAAUUCCAAGAGAAUCCCCGGCAGAAAUGGCACAACCACUUACCAUGUUUUGAACUAAUUAAGUUUUCUUUGAUUUGAAGCAGAAAAAGAAAUGCUGAUAAUGGCAGAAGGGCGUACCACAAGGGAGAGCGCCAAAACUGGGGCAGAAAAUUUUCUUCCUUUGUCGAAAAUUUUCUUGAAAAGGGGAGAAACCGAAUUCAAGAUAUGACUUCAUCUCAUAUGACUACGUGUCACAAUAGCUUUUUAUCCUACAUCUCAUGUGACUACGUGUCACAAUAGCUUUGCAUCUUACAUCUCAUGUGACUACGCGUCAUGAUAGCUUUGCAUCUACAUCUCAUGUGACCAUGCGUCAUAAUAGCUUUGCAUCUACAUCUCAUGUGACUACGCGUCAUGAUAGCUUUGCAUCUGCAUCUCAUGUGACUACGUGUCAUAAUAGCUUUGCAUCUACAUCUCAUAUAACCGCAUCGCAUAUAACUCCAGUCAUAUAGCUUUGCAAUUAUGACUUGAAAUCGAAACCCCCCGGAAGGCAGAAGGUUACCACAAAAGCCCCAGCAUGGCAAAUGCUGAUGAAGAAGGCCAUAUCCCUAGGGAAUCGUCAAAAAGAUUUAUCAUGUUGACGAAAUAAAGCCAUCUCCCCAAUGGAAUCACCAAGAAGCAUAAGGAGGGAAGCCAUAUCCCCAGCAGACCAAGCAAAGAUCAAUGAAACCUAGUGUUGAGACAGGCAAAAGGUCAGUGUCAUCCACAAGCUCUCGGAAGAAAGAAGCACCGAAAGAAACAUAAGCUGACAAGAAAGCAAGGCCAUCAAAAACAAAUUGAAGAUAGAUAGGAUUUUGUGAUCCAUAGGCUAGCCUAGCUUCUUAUUUUUCUCUUUGACACGGUGUAAUAAGGAGAUCAGUAAGGCAAUGGUAACAGUAUACAACAGCAGUAACAACAGAAUCACAAUUUCCCGGUAGUCCAUGCUACCAAGACUUCCCGAACUACAUUAACCUGCUUCCCUUUUUGCCAGGGAUAUGUAGGAAACAUUCGAAGCAAAGUUUCGGUUAAAUCUUUCAAAAAAUGCUUCACACGGAGUACUCAAACGGGCAAAAUCGCUCGUAUUCGCUCACUUUAUCUUUGCACGAAAACCCUUCAUGCUUUCGAAUAAAGAGGGGCAGCUGUGACCACGUGAUUUUUGCCCUAUAUAUUAAUUAUUCCCAGAAAAUUCAAAAUAAAAUAAUUUUUAGUUUGCUUGCAAUUGUUGUGAAUUUGUGUUAUUUUUCUUGUAUUAUUUGCAUUUGUAUGCUCAUGUUCAUUUGUUAAAUUAAUAAAAAAUACAAAAAUAUGUCUCACUUGCAUGUAGGAUUUAAUUCUAUAAUUAGGAGUUAUUAAGUUUGUUUUGUAAAAUAAAAAUCACAAAAUAUGCAUCCUUUGCAUUUUUAGCCUUUAAUGUCCAAAUUAUAUUGUUGUGCUUUAAUUUUUAUUUAAUUUUAUGUGAUAAUUGUUUUCUAUAAGUCAGUUAGUAUUUUAAGAUAAUUUUGAUUUCUAUAAUUUAAUCUUAGCAUUUUAGUUUUAUUAAUUAGAAGGUAAAAGAAAAGAGAACAAAAAUAGCAAGGAGAAAUUCGGAUUGGGCCAAUUUCAAUUAAAGCAACUAGGCGCAAGCAAGCUGGCCCAAAAUAAAUCCAACCUGGUCCAAGCAAGACCCAUGCUCGGACUGCCAAGUACCCAAACGACCCNNNNNNNNNNNNNNNNNNNNNNNNNNNNNNNNNNNNNNNNNNNNNNNNNNNNNNNNNNNNNNNNNNNNNNNNNNNNNNNNNNNNNNNNNNNNNNNNNNNNNNNNNNNNNNNNNNNNNNNNNNNNNNNNNNNNNNNNNNNNNNNNNNNNNNNNNNNNNNNNNNNNNNNNNNNNNNNNNNNNNNNNNNNNNNNNNNNNNNNNNNNNNNNNNNNNNNNNNNNNNNNNNNNNNNNNNNNNNNNNNNNNNNNNNNNNNNAGUGCCCCCCACUCUUCUUCUUCUUCUUCGAACCCCCCAAGCAACCCCCCCCCCACGGUCAAACCCCACUGCCCCUGUUCAACUUUCUCUUCGAACCAGGUCGAAAUUGUUCAGCUCGACGAUUCCAACGCUGAGAUUCGAUCUGUCGUCCAUCCUGUUACAAGCACCAGAACGGAGAAAGCUAUUACUGUGUCUGCUCGUUCGUGGCUACGUCCGUUCACUCUUCUGUUUGUUCGUGGAUGCGGUUGUUCGUUCGUAGGCUUCAUAUUGAAUCAAUUCCUGAGCUCCUUCUCUUUGUUUCAGAUUUAGCUGAGAGCAUUGAAAAAACUCACUAAGGACAAUCACUCUAUUUCAGUGAAGAGAUCCAAAUACACAUUUCGGUGAUUCUUGUACAAACUAGGUAUCUAUUUUUGUAUUUAAAGUGUUUUUUUCCUGUGUUGUAGCUUUGCAUAUGAAUUCAGUUCUUUUCGUCCAAUAUAUUUACUGUGUUCCUUGUUCGUAUUUAGGAUUAAUCUGAAAUUAUGAUAGUUUGUUCAUUGUGUUCUUGUUGUAAUGUUGUUUGGUUUAAUUUUAAUUCAAUUGUUUGAGUUCAAUGGUUUGAAUACAAGUGUUGCUUGAUUUUGCUAAGUUAAGUAACUGUUGUUUCCUGGAAUUCUCAGUUCUUUUUUUUCUCUUUAUUUUUUGGUUGUUUCUAUGAACAUUUGUAGCAUGGUUGUGCUUCAAUUUCAGAUUCUUCUAUUUCAGUUGAAUCAGGAAUCAUCUAAGGAUUGGUUAUAGUUGUUGUAAAUUAGUAGUUAGUAAUCAAUUUUUAGGAUUGAACAGGUCCAUAAUUUAAGGAUCUAAUAACAAGUUAAGGAAGUAUAGGGCAUGGCAGUAAUUUUUCGGGGCUUCAAGGGUAAUUUAGGAAUUGGAAAAGUUAGGAAAAUUGUUUAAUAUUAGUAGCCUUGAUAGUGGGGUAUUUAGAGGCCUUUUAUAGAAUGUGUUAGUGGAGAACAAGAGGGAUUUAGGGAAUAAAGUAAGGAAAACAUUAGAUAGUGAAAUUUUUAGUAAAAAUGGGCGGAUUUUGUGCAUUCUUGGUCGGGUAAGUGGGGCUGUCCAAAGAGAAAAGAGGUCUGUUGGUUGUUUUAAAUAGGAGGAGUUUUAAUAAUUGGUGACUGGAAUUUGGGCAAAUUUGGUUAAGUUAGUGACCAGUUGUUUUGGCACUAAUAAAGUAGCUUAUAACAUUAGUUUAAUAAGUUGGGGUACAAAACAUAAUGGUAUGAGGGGGUCCAUUAAGUAAUAAGUAGUAUACUAAUAUAUUAGUCAAGAACAUACUAAAAAAAAUACACCGAGAGAAUAUACUGAGGGGGGACUGUGGGGUUUGUUUGACUGCUUUUGCUUAAUUGAAAAUCAAAAAUAGUACAAGUGGUAAUAAAUGGGUAAAAGAUACACAUAGAGGGGAAUAUUUUGGGCUGAAAAGUAAAGAAAGGAGUGAGGGUAAUUAAAAGGGGUAAUAAUAAAUAGGGUAGGAAUAAUAAUUAAAGGGAAAGAGAGUCUUGUUUUAGGGAUAAAUAAGAGUCAUUUUGACGCUUAGACAGAGGAGCUUGAACAUACUAAAAAAAAUACACCGAGAGAAUAUACUGAGGGGGGACUGUGGGGUUUGUUUGACUGCUUUUGCUUAAUUGAAAAUCAAAAAUAGUACAAGUGGUAAUAAAUGGGUAAAAGAUACACAUAGAGGGGAAUAUUUUGGGCUGAAAAGUAAAGAAAGGAGUGAGGGUAAUUAAAAGGGGUAAUAAUAAAUAGGGUAGGAAUAAUAAUUAAAGGGAAAGAGAGUCUUGUUUUAGGGAUAAAUAAGAGUCAUUUUGACGCUUAGACAGAGGAGCUUGAACAUACUAAAAAAAAUACCCCGAGAGAAUAUACUGAGGGAUAGAGUGAGGUUUAAGGCUAAGCUUACCAAAAGAGAGCUUCAGAUUUUUUUCUUCUUAAGUGUUUGAAAUCAAAAGCUACUGUCGAUCUCUGCUUGGAUUUGGUGUUUGUUGUCUGACACUAUUGGUUUUCAAUUGGUAUUGCUGGGCUUUUUCGAUUGGGAUUCAUACAUUGUUGCAUCGGUUUCUUGGAUUUUUUCUACUUGAUUUUCAAUCUGUUCCUAGGUUUUCUCCUACUAUUUGCUACUGGGUUUUACUAGUUGUUGCUGAGUUUUGCUGUUGCUGUGAAUACUACUGUUUGGCACUAAUCAAUCACUCUUCUUCUUUUGCUUUCCAAUACCAGGUACACAAUUGAUUCACUGAAUCUUGUAAGCCGAAACUUGAAGCUUGAAUACAAAAAUGAAGAGUUAAAGUUAUUUUGAAUUCACUUUACUAGUAUAUUGAAUAUUAUUUGUAUAUAUAUUAGUUCACUUCCUCUACUAAAAUCAUGUAGGUAGCUGUGAUGUAUAACUGAACAUUUAUAUAUGGCAACUUAAUUGGUGGACUCUCUAUGUUUUCUUGUAGCUAGAAAGGGAUAAGGGUGUAGUCAUUAACACUCUGUUUAUUUCAGUUUGCUUAGUACUAUACUUCAAAAGCAUGUCAAGCCUUAGGUUGAUUUAUCUAUUAAAUGAUCUAAGUUAUCUCAUUUAACAAGUUGCCUAUCUAAACCUUCAAGAACAUGUUUA